UUCCUGCUGCUUUUGUCGAUGCAGAAGGGCUUGUUGUUUGUGCUGCUGAUCCCAGUGCUUUGCAUGUGCUGUCUUAGCCUCAUGUAUUAAAAACUGAGGGAGGAACUGCAUGGAAGGCGGUGCAAUGGGCUGCCCAGGAGGGAAGGCAGAGAGGGAGCCCGGUUGUCCCCACUGGGAAGGUGUCUCCAAAGCUCCUCUGCAGCACGGGGCAAAGGUGGGAAAUGCCAAGCUGGCAGAGCCUCCGUCGGCACUUUUGGAUCAAUUUUCAUAGGUGUUGGGACAUUGGUCUGGAGUAGAUAUGAGGCAUCCCUGGGCUUGGUUUCUUGGCCUACCAUGUGUGGACACUUCCCUGAAUCCCCCUGUGCAAAAGCACUGCAUGGGCUGUCAGCAUUGGGACCAUCACCUUCCUCUCCAGCUGUACAGCAGGCCUGAAUUCCGAAGUCAUGCUUUCAGGUUCCUGGAACAAAAUGCUGGGGGAGCAGGGGCCGUCUUUUGCUCUCAAACCAUGUUCUCUCUUCUAAAUAUUACAAAGACCUUCCCUGUGUUUCCAUGGUGCUUUUGUAACUCUGAGUGCUCAGGAAGAAUGCCUUCAGAUUUAUAAUGAUGCAAAGGGGAUCGGGACCUGAACCGAGUUAGGCAAACGCAAGCAAGCAGCUGCUCUGACUGGGUAUGAAAAAUCGGAGAUCGGUUCCCAAAUCCUGCUGACUCAGCUGCAAGGUUGAGCUCUGAGGAACUGGUGCACUCACAACACAGCUUGCCAGGGAUCAACGGGCUAACCUAUUAGCCAUUAACUACUGCUCUUAACAACCACCAGUGUCAAGGAUGUGCUAUGGGACCAAUGAAACACGAAGAGUUAGCUGCCACACUUCUGAUUCCAGUGCAGGAAUCUUCUGCCUUGCGGAAUGUUUGCUGUUAUUCACACAUUUACGGAACAGCAGACGGAAUGGAGCAAUGUGCAUUUUUGCCCCUCAGAUCCUUUUAAAGCCUGACCCACUAACACCACAAGCGAGCUGCAUGGAUGCAGACGUACGUAGCACUGAGCACCAGGACUGGGCAGUGAAGAGGGGCAGGGGUGCUAGGGUGAUUCGUGGAGGCGCCUGGCAGCAGGACACAGCAGCGCCCGUCCUGCUGAGCAGCAUCGGGGCUCUCCACAUCUUCAUUAACUGCUGCACUGGCGGCCGUAUUGCACGAGUUAUUUGCCAGAGUGGGAGGGGAAAAGCCACCCAUCCACUUGGAUAGGACACGCUCAUUGUGCUUUGUGGAGGGAAAGCUGAGGAGUUCAAGCAGGACAGCAGCUCUGGGCAAUCCUGCCCUAGUGGAGAGCAGCUCCUAUUCCUGUGGGCACCUUUCCCUUUUGGAUGGCAGGGUGUUCCCUACCCCGCUGCUCUGGCCCUGCAGUUUGCCCUGAGAUGUGCAAAAACGCCGAGGAAGGCAGCGUGGCCGCGGGCAGAGGAAGCCCUGGCAGAAACCAGCCCACGGGGACCUGCAGCCACUUGUGAAUCUCGGGCAAGAAGAGGUAGUCCCGGCUGUGCACUGAAUGGGCUGGAUUCGGCCCCGUGGAGCUGCCCGGCUCACAGCUGCUCGCACGGCACAGGUCCCUGCCCUUUAUGCUCAGGAUUUCCGAGCACUCCUAGAGCUGUAAAACUGUUUGUUGAACGCACAAAAACUCAGCCACGCUUUUGGUAGAUCCCCACAAUUUCUGUUUCCGUCCUUUGCUUUUCAUUUAAGCACAUUAAAACCCACCUCGGUCAUGCCGCCAGCAAAAUGGAUGCGUGUCUCUAGAGGCAGAAAUUGUCAGUGAGUCACGCUCUGGCAAGAGCCAAGCGCUUGCAAAAGGAUCAACCGCAACCCAAAAGGUGGUGCCUGGCCAACUUACCAGUCUCCUUUUGAAGCUUUAUUUUGGUAAGGACAAGAAUAACGAUAGUGAUGAAAAUCAGCAAAAGCAGAGCCGAUAGCACAACUGGGAGCAGGUGGGAUUCACCUGAUGAGCUGGAAAGAUGAACCGUCAGAAUUAAAUUGGAUUUCGAGUUAAAGACCUGGUGGUUGAAUGGAGGCUGUAGAUUUUACACCAAAGAGCACAAAAGAGUUAUAAACAGGCUGAAUCAAAGGAGAACAGUCAACAAAGUCAAGCAGAGAUGAAAUUGUUUGAUCUGGAGCUUGGCUUAUGAGGAAGUAAUUUCUACAGCUACCUCUGCUCGGCCAUGUGGGGCUUACGCUGCCCGAUGAAUUAUCCCCUCCAAGAGGAAAAUGUGCUUUUUUUCAUCAUAUAAGCUCCUAAGCAAGGUUCAGACUCUUUCUUUGCUAGUUCUUGUAGGUUGUCGUGCUGUUGCAGGGUGUCUACGUGCCAUCUCCUUGUGAAAAUGCCAUAAACGCUAUCAGAGCUCGACACGCGGAUAGAGCUUUGCCAGGAACGGUGCAAAAUCCGACCCUUUAUGCAGGAGCGUGACCUAAGGUAGGUAGGUAGCAUGCUCCUCCUGGAUGGAUGGUAGCUAAAUGUGGUUUGGGGAAGGCGGUGGAUGGGGAGAACAGGGUUGUAGAGACGGCACUUUUCAUGCUGGAGGGCAGACGCAAGUGUGCAGAGGGGCUGCUCGGGACGUUGAGCUGGAUUUGUGGACUGUGGUGUUUCUUCAGUUAUGACUGAUACUGCAGUAUCUGAUACAUCUGUGCCAGCUAUGCAAAUCACUUCACCUGGCACUGGAUGGUGGCCAUAGCUGGGGUGAAGGGUCUAAGGGCUGCUCGCAGCCGUCCUGGCUAACAGGAAACCCAUGAGUUAAAAUCACCAGGGAGCAAACUGGCUCCGGGGUGAGCAGCAUGGCUUUUUUAGAGAAGGCCCAUGGAGUAAUUACUGGCCAAAAUAGCUCACAGCCUUUUGAUUAACCUUGUCCAAAGACGGGUCCUUAUGCAACGCAGAGAACCCAAACACCACACUGGUUACUGGCUGCCCAUGAUGAGUGGGAUAAGGGGUGCCAUGAAGUAUGUAGCAGCUACUGAUUUGCCAGCGUUAUUGCUCAAGCCUAAUGUUUCCUAAUGUCCUGUCUCCACACUAACCAAAGGAAAACAGACAGGAGCACAUCUGUUGACUCUGGCAGCUGAUCUACAGGAGUGACCAGCACCAGAAGAUUUCGAGACCAGUUCAAAGAUCCACUCCGCAGAUGGACACAAGAUAAGCUUGCCAUCUGCUUUUCUAAUUACACCCAUCUCCUAUCAGAGUUUAUAAUUUGCAGCCUCUGCACAACCUAAGUAGAGGCCAGGGGAAUUGGGCAGACGGGUGCAAACCACCAAGUUUGUGUCUCAGAGAAAAGUGGCCGUGAGCUUACCUCUCGUGAUAGAUGCUGCUGCGGGAGGUCACGAAGGUGACAGAAGGGGCAGUGCUGGUGCCCAUGGUGCCCAUGGUGCCUGCAGUGCCU